UGACAGUACUCCUACGGGGAGGCAGCAGGUGGGGGAAUAUUGCACAAUGGGCGCAAGCCUGAUGCAGCCAUGCCGCGUGUGUGAAGAAGGACCUUCGGGUUGUAAAGCACUUUCAGUCGUGAGGAAGGUAGUGUAGUUAAUAGCUGCAUUAUUUGACGUUAGCGACAGAAGAAGCACCGGCUAACUCCGUGCCAGCAGCCGCGGUAAUACGGGAGGGUGCGAGCGUUAAUCGGAAUUACUGGGCGUAAAGCGCAUGCAGGUGGUUUGUUAAGUCAGAUGUGAAAGCCCGGGGCUCAACCUCGGAAUAGCAUUUAGAAACUGGCAGACUAGAGUACUGUAGAGGGGGGUAGGAAUUUCAGGUGUAGCGGUGAAAUGCGUAGAGAUCUGAAGGAAUACCGGUGGCGAAGGCGGCCCCCUGGACAGAUACUGACACUCAGAUGCGAAAGCGUGGGGAGCAAACAGGAUUAGAUACCCUGGUAG
rnacentral:rRNA from 1 species